UGUGUCCGGAUGGUACUAAUACGUCCGUACACAAGUAUUACCUUUUCGAUGUUUGGUGGUGAGUGGACGAUUUAAAAGUUCUCUUCACGUAGUUUUCUGGGUGCUGGCGUUUUAAACCAGCAUUUCAGCUUCACUGGCUGGUCGGAUUCUUGCGGAUUUAAACGGAGAAUUCUUAAUAGCAGUGUUGUACCCUUGUUGAUGCUUUGCGAUAUGACUUAAAUCAUAUGCGUGAACGUUGGCGUUCUUUUGUGUUGUCGGACCGACAGACUUGCGUCGCCUGAGACGCGGUCUGUACAGUCAACCCUUGUACUUAUGUCUAAUGUUGUGUCGAAACGUUCCGUCUUGUGUCGUACAUAGACGCAGCCGGUAUAUACGCUUCGUUGUUCUGGUGUUAUUGUCUGUUCUUUGUAUUCUUAGCUGUCACCGAUAUUUGUUAGGGAAAUUUCAUUUAGCUAUAAGCCGUCUUCCGUUAUAUCGCUUGGACGUACAGCCCGCUGUCUGGUAUAGCUCGCUGUGCCGCCAAGAAAUAUAGACGAUGCGACGUAAUGUAGUAAUUUGCCUAAAAAAAAAAAAAGGCUAUUCUUAUCUGGUUUAGUGCGUGGGUUCGAUUUGGAUGGUUUUUUUGUUAUCGAUUAUAGAUUUCGAGUUGUAGCUGUUAUAUUACCCAUAUUUCCUGUAGUUUGGAGCUGGGGACCAGCUCAAAAUUUUGCCUGCGUCAAAAUUUUCUCUGGGGAGGGGAGUACUGUAACAAUAUUUUUUCAAACCUCGUAGGUAUAUUUUUAUUUAGCUGAUAUUAUACUCAAGUAACUAUUGGUUUCGUACAGGCAGAGCCAUCUAUCGGCAGGAUUGUAUUGAUAACCCAGUUUGCUGUUAGCUAGAAUGACAAAAGAUGGCGUGUCGAUCGUCGUUAAUUUAUUUCCUUCCAAAAUCCCUUUUGAAUUUUCAUUUAUUAAAAAUAAAACUCAAUUUAUUAUUGUAUUGUUAGUUUUCGUUCCUUUUUGGAAAUAUUUUAUUACCCUCUUUAAGACAGAAGUUAAAGUUGUUGUCUAUAGGCGAAUGCAUCUCGUCACGUAUCUGUGGGCCGAGCUGUCAGCCGACACUUUGCAUAUUGGAAAGGAUGUAGACGGGUGGUUUUCAAAUUCUUCAGGGCCAAUGCGCCACAUUCUAAUUUUUAAAUCGCGAAUUAAUCGCAUAAUCAUGAUUUUAAUUUUAUAAAAUUACUGAGGACCCCUUCCAUUGACAUGAUUGCACGGAACCACAAGCCGGCUUCUUUUCUGGAAUGGGUCCUCAGAUUUGGAGGUUAACGUUCGAAGACAGAGCAGAGCUGAUGCUUCCCGAGCCUGGACCGGUGGACAGGAGGCUGUGGCGAUCGGUAUGGAAGAGCUCCCAUUCCGUGGCUGCAGCGGCCACCUCUCCUCAAUUCGGUUAGACGUCCCCCAAGGUCAGAGCGUUCCUCGUUUAUUUUUUAAAAAAGGCGCCCAACAUAAAUUAAUUUUUUAAUUAAUAAUUUACCUUUUACCCGGUCUUCCAGUACCAGAACUACUGACUCACCCCUAUGCUCUAAAUUUUAGGUAUUUGUUUUUUUUUUAAGUAAAUAGACUGAGCUAGCGAUAUAAUUUAUAAUAAGGGUAGUUUCAUUGCCUACCAGUUAGGCGUUACUAAGUAGUGUAUUAUUACUUUCGAAAUUAUUUUCAAAAAGUAAGUUAAUUAAAAAGUUAUUUUCUAUAUAAA